rnacentral:pre_miRNA from 1 species
CUCCCUGGGGAAUCUUGUUAAAAUGCAGAUUCUGAUUCAGUUGCUCUGAUGGGGGGUCUAAGAUUCUGCAUUUCUAACAAGUCUCAGGGGAUGCAGA